GGGAAGAUGGCUCAGUGGUAGAGUGCUUGCCUUGUAUGCCUGAGGCCCUGGGUUCGAUCCUCAGUACCA
rnacentral:tRNA from 1 species